GACGAACGCUGGCGGCGUGCUUAACACAUGCAAGUCGAACGGAAAGGCCCUGCUUUUGUGGGGUGCUCGAGUGGCGAACGGGUGAGUAACACGUGAGUAACCUGCCCUUGACUUUGGGAUAACUUCAGGAAACUGGGGCUAAUACCGGAUAGGAGCUCCGGCUGCAGGGGGGGGGUUGGAAAGUUUCGGCGGUUGGGGAUGGACUCGCGGCUUAUCAGCUUGUUGGUGGGGUAGUGGCUUACCAAGGCUUUGACGGGUAGCCGGCCUGAGAGGGUGACCGGCCACAUUGGGACUGAGAUACGGCCCAGACUCCUACGGGAGGCAGCAGUGGGGAAUAUUGCACAAUGGGCGGAAGCCUGAUGCAGCAACGCCGCGUGCGGGAUGACGGCCUUCGGGUUGUAAACCGCUUUCGCCUGUGACGAAGCGUGAGUGACGGUAAUGGGUAAAGAAGCACCGGCUAACUACG
rnacentral:rRNA from 1 species